UGUUGUAUCAAAAAUGAUUCAGGGCCUCGAACGAGACCCGUAGCCAAUUUUUGGAAGCCUCUCCGCCAGGAGGGGUUA
rnacentral:snRNA from 14 species